AAUAGAUACCCGGGUAGUCCACGCCGUAAACGAUGAAUGCUAGGUGUUAGGGGUUUCGAUACCCUUGGUGCCGAAGUUAACACAUUAAGCAUUCCGCCUGGGGAGUACGGCCGCAAGGCUGAAACUCAAAGGAAUUGACGGGGACCCGCACAAGCAGUGGAGUAUGUGGUUUAAUUCGAAGCAACGCGAAGAACCUUACCAGGUCUUGACAUCCCCCUGACCGGUACAGAGAUGUACCUAUCCUUCGGGACAGGGGAGACAGGUGGUGCAUGGUUGUCGUCAGCUCGUGUCGUGAGAUGUUGGGUUAAGUCCCGCAACGAGCGCAACCCUUGACUUUAGUUGCCAGCAGGUAAGGCUGGGCACUCUAGAGUGACUGCCGGUGACAAACCGGAGGAAGGUGGGGAUGACGUCAAAUCAUCAUGCCCCUUAUGACCUGGGCUACACACGUACUACAAUGGCCGGUACAACGGGAAGCGAAGGAGCGAUCUGGAGCGAAUCCUUUAAAGCCGGUCUCAGUUCGGAUUGCAGGCUGCAACUCG
rnacentral:rRNA from 1 species